rnacentral:rRNA from 1 species
AGAACGAACGCUGGCGGCGUGGAUAAGACAUGCAAGUCGAACGGGAUUAUUUUUGUAGCAAUACAGAAAUAAUUCAGUGGCGAACGGGUGCGUAACACGUGGGCAAUCUGCCGAAAAGUGGGGGAUAGCUCGCCGAAAGGCGAAUUAAUACCGCAUGUGGUGAGGGACGACAUCUUCCUGAAUCCAAAGCCGGGGCAACUGCGCUUUGUUAGGAGCCGCCGGCCGUACUCAGCUAGUUAGGUUGGAGGUAAACGGGCGUCACCCAACGGACGUUUUGUACGGGUAAGGUCUCGGGUUCUUGGAGAGGACGGACCAGUCACACUGGAACGUACGAGACAACGGUCCGACGAACACCCUACCGGGUGGGCACGCGAGUCGAGAAUUUUU